rnacentral:rRNA from 1 species
AGCAGUCGCCGCGGUAAAACGUAGGUGGCAAGCGUUGUCCGGAAUUAUUGGGCGUAAAGCGCGCGCAGGCGGAUAGGUCAGUCUGUCUUAAAAGUUCGGGGCUUAACCCCGUGAUGGGAUGGAAACUGCCAAUCUAGAGUAUCGGAGAGGAAAGUGGAAUUCCUAGUGUAGCGGUGAAAUGCGUAGAUAUUAGGGAGAACACCAGUGGCGAAGGCGACUUUCUGGACGAAAACUGACGCUGAGGCGCGAAAGCCAGGGGAGCGAACAGGAUUAGAUACCCCUGUAGUCCCUGUCUCUUAUACA